rnacentral:lncRNA from 1 species
AUGUUAUUUCAACUGAUCGGGCUAACGUUUUAAUUUUCAUAAGGACAGUCUAUUUGAAGAUGUGUGUGAUAAGGAUGAUGACCGUUAUAAUUACAAUUGAUUUCUAAUCACCUAUCAGUGUCACUAAACGGAAAUACAAAUGGUAUAGGAAGAAUAACUGAACUCUUCAUUCAUGAGUUUAUCCCGAAAGACCUGUCUUAUCAACACUGUAGUAAGAUCAUUGAAUAUUGUUUUUAUUGGUA